rnacentral:tRNA from 1 species
GGAAUAGCUCAGUGGUCGAGCACGUGCUUAGUUUGCAUGAGGUCCUGGAUUCAAUCCCCAGUCCCUCCA